CAGCCGCCACGGUAAUACGAGGGGGGCAAGCGUUGUUCGGAAUCAUUGGGCGUAAAGGGUGCGUAGGCGGUUUGACAAGUCUUAUGUGAAAUCUCUGGGCUCAACCCAUAGUCUGCACGGGAAACUGUCGGGCUUGAGAAUGGGAGAGGAGAGUGGAAUUCCACGUGUAGCGGUGAAAUGCGUAGAGAUGUGGAGGAACACUAGUGGCGAAGGCGACUCUCUGGUCUGUAACUGACGCUGAGGAGCGAAAGCGUGGGGAGCGAACAGGAUUAGAGACCCGCGUAGUCCCUGUCUCUUAUAA
rnacentral:rRNA from 1 species